AGAGAAAUUAUUGAAAGGAGAAAGUGCGCUUCAGCGGGUCCAGUGUAUCCCUGGCAAUGCCAGCUGUUGUGACUGUGGCCUGGCAGAUCCACGGUGGGCCAGCAUCAACCUGGGCAUCACCUUGUGUAUCGAGUGCUCCGGAAUUCACCGGAGCCUUGGGGUUCAUUUUUCGAAAGUACGAUCUUUAACUUUAGACACCUGGGAGCCAGAACUUUUAAAGCUUAUGUGUGAGUUGGGGAAUGAUGUUAUAAAUCGAGUUUAUGAAGCUAAUGUGGAAAAAAUGGGAAUAAAGAAACCACAACCAGGACAAAGACAGGAGAAGGAGGCAUAUAUCAGAGCAAAAUAUGUGGAGAGGAAAUUUGUGGAUAAAUAUUCUAUAUCAUUAUCACCUCCUGAGCAGCAAAAAAAGUUUGUCUCUAAAAGUUCUGAAGAAAAGAGGCUGAGCAUUUCUAAAUUUGGGCCAGGGGACCAAGUCAGAGCAUCUGCCCAAAGUUCAGGUAUGGCAAACUUUCUUACUGUGUCUAUAGCUAUUUUCUUAAGCUCAAAUCACUUUUAUAAUCCCUGAACUAAUAGCCAUUGUCGUUUUUUUAAUGUUAAAAACCUGUUCCCUUCUACAUAUUCUAAGAAAAACUGAAUUUCUAUGUCUUUAAAAUAGUUAACUUUAAACAAUGCCAUAAUAUUUCACCUUUCUAGGUAAUGUGUAUAUUCUAAGGAAUAAAACUGCUUAAAAUGCAAGGGGAGAUGGGAAUUAUAAACCU
rnacentral:sRNA from 1 species